CCCCUUUGUUCGCUCUGCGGCGGGAGGUGGCUGCGAGGGUGGGAGGUGUGUGCGCGCGUGUGCCGCGCCGUGGGGAGCGGCGGGUCGCGCCGCGGGCUGUCAGCUAGCUGCGCGCCGUCGCCCGAUGGCGCGAGGAGGCGCGCAGGCCCAGCCCCGUGGGGCCACCCCUGGCCGCGGGUGAGCCCCUCUGCUUGCCGCCUGCGAGCAUGUCACCUCCAGCCGCCGCGGCAGACUCCGCCAGCCGUGCCCGCGCCCCCGCCUCCCUCAGCCGCAGCCGCAGCCGCUGCCUGGGGCAUUGGCCCCCAGACCCCCGCCCCUGAUCCACGCCCAGACCCUAGAGCCAGAGGACCAUGGCCGGCCAGGGGGACUGCUGCGUCAAGGUGGCCGUCAGGUUGUAGGUGACCCAGAUUCCAAGAGCCCAUGGAAGUCACUCUAGACAGGGCCAGAGAGGACUAUGGAAAAGCUUCCCCCUCCUUCCCCCCCGGGAAGAUGCCCCCCAGGCAAUCCGGCCAGUCCUCCGCAGCCCAGAGAGGAGGAGUGGACUGCUGAUCUCGGCUCUGGGCUCAAGGAAGGGAGAUUGAGGUGCCUCCCACCCGUGCAUCAGGCAGCCUCAGCAUCACUUGAACACAGCCUUGCUGGCCCUGAGCAGCCCCAGAGACAAAGAGGAGCCCUGCAGGAUUCGGCCCCAGCUGUCAAAGGAGAAGAUUGAGGGCUGUCACAUCUGCACUUCUGUCACCCCGGGGGAGCCCCAGGUCCUUCUGGGGAAGGACAAGGCCUUCACCUAUGACUUUGUCUUCGACCUGGACACCUGGCAGGAACAGAUCUAUUCGACCUGUGUGAGCAAGCUCAUCGAGGGCUGUUUCGAGGGCUACAAUGCCACAGUGCUGGCCUAUGGGCAGACAGGGGCCGGGAAGACGUACACUAUGGGCACUGGCUUCGACACGGCAACAUCGGAGGAGGAGCAAGGCAUCAUUCCGAGGGCCAUCGCACACCUCUUUGGGGGCAUUGCUGAGCGGAAACGGCGGGCACAGGAGCAGGGUGUGGCUGGGCCUGAGUUCAAAGUCAGCGCUCAGUUCCUGGAGCUCUACAACGAGGAGAUCCUUGACCUGUUUGAUAGCACCCGUGACCCUGACGCCCGCCACCGCAGGUCCAACAUCAAGAUCCACGAGGACGGGAACGGUGGCAUCUACACCACGGGCGUCACUUCCCGCCUCAUCACCUCCCAGGAGGAGCUGAUCCAGUGCCUGAAGCAGGGGGCCCUGUCCCGCACCACGGCCAGCACCCAGAUGAACGUGCAGAGCUCCCGCUCACACGCCAUCUUCACCAUCCACGUGUGCCAGAUGCGAGUGUGCAGCCAGCCCGACCCAGUGAAUGAGGCUGUGACUGGGCUUCCUGAGGGCACGGCUCCCACAAGUGAGUAUGAGACGCUCACUGCUAAGUUUCACUUUGUGGACCUGGCCGGCUCAGAGCGGCUGAAGCGGACGGGGGCCACUGGCGAGCGGGCCAAGGAGGGCAUCUCCAUCAACUGCGGCCUGCUGGCCUUGGGCAACGUGAUCAGCGCGUUGGGGGACCAGAGCAAGAAGGUGGUACACGUGCCCUACAGGGACUCCAAGCUCACCCGGCUCCUCCAGGACUCGCUGGGAGGCAACAGCCAGACCAUCAUGAUUGCCUGUGUGAGCCCCUCAGACCGGGACUUCAUGGAGACGCUCAACACGCUCAAGUAUGCCAAUCGGGCCCGCAACAUCAAGAACAAGGUGGUGGUGAACCAGGACAAGACGAGCCAGCAGAUCAGCGCUCUGCGGGCCGAGAUCGCGCGCCUACAGAUGGAGCUAAUGGAGUACAAGGCGGGCAAGAGGGUGAUCGGAGAGGACGGUGCCGAGGGCUACAGUGACCUGUUCCGGGAGAAUGCCAUGCUGCAGAAGGAGAAUGGGGCGCUGCGUCUGCGGGUAAAGGCCAUGCAGGAGGCCAUCGAUGCCAUCAACAACCGCGUCACCCAUCUCAUGAGCCAGGAGGCCAAUCUGCUCCUCGCCAAGGCCGGUGAUGGCAAUGAGGCCAUUGGUACUCUGAUCCAGAACUACAUCCGGGAGAUUGAGGAGCUGCGGACGAAGCUCCUGGAGAGCGAGGCCAUGAAUGAGUCCCUGCGCCGCAGCCUGUCUCGGGCCUCAGCUCGGAGCCCCUACUCACUGGGUGCAUCUCCGGGGGCUCCCGCCUUCGGGGGCAGCCCGGCCAGCUCCAUGGAGGAUGCCUCUGAGGUGAUCCGCAGGGCCAAGCAGGACCUGGAGCGGCUCAAGAAGAAGGAGGUCAGGCAGCGGAGAAAGAGUCCAGAGAAGGAGGCCUUCAAAAAGAGGGCAAAACUCCAACAGGAAAACAGUGAGGAGACCGACGAGAAUGAAGCUGAGGAGGAGGAGGAAGAGCGAGACGAGAGUGGCUGUGAGGAGGAGGAGGGGCGUGAGGAUGAAGACGAGGACUCGGGCAGUGAGGAGAGCCUGGUGGACUCGGACUCAGACCCUGACGAGAAGGAGGUGAACUUCCAGGCAGACCUGGCCGACCUGACAUGUGAGAUCGAGAUCAAGCAGAAACUGAUCGACGAGCUGGAGAACAGCCAGCGGCGGCUGCAGACUCUCAAGCACCAGUAUGAGGAGAAGCUGAUUCUCCUGCAGAACAAGAUCCGAGACACGCAGCUGGAGCGAGACCGCGUGCUGCAGAACCUCAGCACCAUGGAGUGCUACACGGAGGAGAAGGCCAACAAGAUCAAGGCGGACUAUGAGAAGAGGCUGCGGGAGAUGAACCGAGACUUGCAGAAGCUGCAGGCCGCACAGAAGGAGCACGCGCGGCUGCUCAAAAACCAGUCCCGCUAUGAGAGGGAGCUGAAGAAGCUGCAGGCCGAGGUGGCUGAGAUGAAGAAGGCCAAGGUGGCCCUGAUGAAGCAGAUGCGUGAAGAGCAGCAGCGGCGGCGGCUGGUGGAGACUAAGAGGAACCGGGAGAUUGCUCAGCUCAAGAAGGAACAGCGGCGACAAGAGUUUCAGAUCCGAGCUCUGGAGUCCCAGAAGCGGCAGCAGGAAAUGGUCCUGAGGAGGAAAACCCAGGAGGUUUCUGCACUGAGGCGCCUGGCCAAGCCCAUGUCUGAGAGGGUGGCGGGGCGUGCAGGACCGAAGCCACCCAUGCUGGACUCGGGGGCUGAGGUGUCAGCCAGUACCACCUCAUCUGAGGCCGAAUCAGGGGCCCGCUCUGUCUCCAGCAUCGUGCGCCAGUGGAACCGCAAAAUCAAUCACUUCUUGGGGGACCACCCUGCGCCUGCCGUCAAUGGCACCCGCCCUGCCAGAAAGAAGUUCCAGAAGAAGGGGGCCAGCCAGAGCUUUAGUAAGGCUGCCAGGCUCAAGUGGCAGUCCCUGGAGCGGAGGAUCAUUGACAUCGUCAUGCAGAGGAUGACCAUUGUCAACCUGGAGGCUGACAUGGAGCGGCUCAUCAAGAAAAGGGAGGAGCUGUUCCUCCUGCAGGAGGCGCUGCGGAGGAAGCGGGAGCGGCUGCAGGCUGAGAGCCCGGAGGAGGAGAAGGGGCUGCAGGAGCUGGCGGAGGAGAUCGAGGUGCUGGCAGCCAACAUUGACUACAUCAACGACAGCAUCACCGACUGCCAGGCCACCAUCGUGCAGCUGGAGGAGACCAAGGAGGAGCUGGACUCCACGGACACAUCGGUGGUCAUCAGUUCCUGCUCCCUGGCCGAAGCCCGUCUCUUGCUGGACAAUUUCCUCAAGGCGUCCAUUGACAAGGGGCUACAAGUGGCACAGAAGGAGGCCCAGAUCCGGCUGCUAGAGGGACGGCUGAGGCAGACAGACAUAGCGGGUUCCUCCCAGAACCACCUGCUCCUGGAUGCCCUGCGAGAGAAGGCUGAGACACACCCUGAACUGCAGGCCCUCAUCUACAAUGUGCAGCAGGAGAAUGGUUAUGCCAGCACAGAUGAGGAGAUCUCAGAGUUCUCUGAGGGGAGCUUCUCCCAGUCAUUCACCAUGAAGGGUUCCACCAGCCAUGAUGAUUUCAAGUUCAAGGGUGAGCCCAAGCUGUCUGCCCAAAUGAAGGCUGUGUCAGCCGAGUGCCUGGGUCCCCCACUGGAUAUCUCCACCAAGAACAUCACCAAGUCCCUGGCCUCCCUUGUCGAGAUCAAAGAGGAUGGAGUGGGCUUCUCCAUCCGAGACCCCUACUACCGGGACAAGGUCUCACGCACCAUCAGCCUGCCCACCAGAGGCAGUACUUUCCCCCGGCAGUCUCGAGCCACGGAGACAUCACCGCUGACCCGAAGGAAGUCGUAUGACCGAGGGCAGCCCAUUAGGUCCACAGAUGUGGGAUUCACGCCCCCUUCGUCCCCUCCUACUCGGCCCCGCAACGACCGUAACGUCUUCUCUCGUCUCACCAGUAAUCAGAGCCAAGGGUCAGCACUGGACAAGUCUGAUGACAGCGACUCCUCUUUGUCGGAGGUCCUGAGGGGCAUCAUCACCCCCGUUGGAGGAGCCAAGGGUGCGAGGACAGCCCCACUGCAGUGCGUCUCCAUGGCCGAGGGCCACACCAAGCCCAUCCUCUGCCUGGACGCCACGGAUGAGCUGCUGUUCACAGGAUCCAAAGACCGCAGCUGUAAGAUGUGGAACUUGGUCACGGGCCAGGAGAUCGCGGCGCUAAAGGGCCACCCCAACAACGUGGUGUCUAUCAAGUACUGCAGCCAUUCUGGGCUUGUGUUCUCCGUGUCUACCUCCUACAUCAAGGUGUGGGACAUCCGGGACUCCGCCAAGUGCAUUCGGACCCUCACGUCCUCGGGUCAGGUGACCUCAGGCGACGCCUGUGCUGCCACAUCCACCCGCGCUAUCACCAGCGCUCAGGGGGAGCAUCAGAUCAACCAGAUCGCCCUCAGCCCUUCAGGCACCAUGCUGUAUGCUGCCUCGGGCAAUGCCGUCCGCAUCUGGGAGCUCAGCAGGUUCCAGCCCGUUGGCAAGCUGACUGGCCACAUUGGCCCUGUGAUGUGCCUGACGGUCACCCAGACCGCCAGCCAGCACGACCUGGUGGUGACGGGCUCCAAGGACCACUACGUUAAGAUGUUCGAGUUGGGCGAGUGUGUGACUGGCACCAUUGGCCCCACCCACAACUUUGAGCCCCCGCACUAUGAUGGCAUCGAAUGUCUUGCCAUCCAGGGAGACAUCCUCUUCAGUGGCUCCCGGGAUAAUGGCAUCAAGAAAUGGGACCUGGAACAGCAGGAGCUCAUCCAGCAAAUCCCCAAUGCACACAAGGACUGGGUGUGUGCCCUGGCCUUUGUCCCGGGCCGCCCCAUGCUGCUGAGCGCCUGUCGCGCGGGCGUCAUCAAGGUCUGGAACGUGGAUAACUUCACGCCCAUCGGAGAGAUCAGGGGUCACGACAGCCCCAUCAACGCCAUCUGUACCAAUGCCAAGCACAUCUUCACUGCUUCCAGUGACUGCCGGGUAAAGGUGUGGAAUUACGUCCCCGGACUCACCCCCUGCCUUCCUCGCCGGGUCCUGGCCAUAAAGGGCCGAGCCACCACCCUGCCUUGACACUCCCCUCCCGUCUCCUCUCUCAUUCCCCCCUCUUUCCUUUUCCCUCUCUUUCUCCACUUCGGUCUGAGCUGCUUCUCAACGUGACCUGACGGUGAAGUUCUGGAGUGUUCGGCGGUUACCCGGUGGCCCACCCUAGGAGCACACAACAGUCCUCACCCUGGCUGUCUUUCAGAGGAUGGCCCCCAGACCCUCGGCCCCCGGCAGCCUGGACAGCACAGAAGGGAAGCUGUGGCCUGACGGGGCCAACUGCCCUAGGGACAGAGGGUGUGGGCAUCGGGUGUUGCCCCUCUCCUGUUAUCCUUCCCCUCCCUUGACCUUCCUAUGGGAUACUAUUCCCCCAGCCCCUGCCUCUUGGGGAGAGAGGGAGGUUGGGGGGGAAAUUUAAGCUGUGAAGCCAAAGGGCAUUUUCCCUCUCAUUUCUCUCCCUGAAGCCCCUCAGGCUCCCCUUGCCCUCCCUCUGGCCACAUUUUCUCCUGCUGAGCUGGCCAUGCCCUUCCUCAAGCCUCUGGCCCAGUGGUGGGGCCCCGUAGGGGAGGUGAAGCGUCUCCAGCCCCUGCUGCGCCCCCUCCGAUGAACAGGCCUCCCCCUACCUCCCCUAAUGCAGCCUCUGGAGCCACCGCACCUGCCUCUGAGCCCAAAAUGAUAGUCCUCAGGUAACCAUGGAAACCAGGUGGAGGCAGCUGGGCCCUGCGGCUGACCCUUAGCCCCUUGGCCACCAACAGCCAUUCCCAGAUGACCCCAGCAAUUCCUUGGGGUCCCUUUCCGACGGGGCCAAGGUUAGAGCUGCUAGAAAAAAUUCCUUUGGGGAGAUAGUCAGAAAUACUUCAGCUAUUUAAUUUAUUUUAUUUUUAUUUUUAUUUUUUGCUGUUGCCUCCUGGAAACUGACUUGAAGUUUCUCCCCACAUGUUCUUUCCCUCUGCUCUUGGGGGUCGGGACUCCCAAAGGGAAUCCGCCCUACCAGCCCCUCCAGGACCACCUCCUCUGUUUGCGUUGCAGCUCGGGCCUGUCCCCAACAUUGCCCCCAGGGACCAUUCUAGUGCACCCCUGACCUCUAGGCCGCCUGAUGCUUCAGUGCCUUCCUCCACCCCGGGGCCUGGCACCCAUGCUGGGCAGCCUUACACCAGCCAUGCCCGCGGCACCACAUGUGUCUUUUGACUCGCGGGGUCUCAUGCCCGCUGCCCCCCAAAGGCGGGGGAGCUCCACCCUACAGCCCAGGGCUGUACAUAGGGGUCCCCCGUUCCCAAUGUCCCUUGUGGGCCACGUAGGAAGCAGCUCAGAGGAUUGUGUCUACCAGGAAGUGGCUUGGAUGGUGAGGAUGGCCCAGCCCCUUCCCCAGCUCACCUGUAUUUUCACCCCGACUGGGCAGGAAGUCCUUCCAGCCUCUUUCUCUCUGGUUAUUCAAGAGAGACAUUUUCAAGCCUUAAAGCUGGCAUGGGGCAAGAGGUCCUCCCCUUUAGAUUAGCAGCGAAGAGGGGAAUUCCUAGUUUCUUUUUGCCUUGGGGCUGUGGAGUCAAGGCUCCAAGGAUGUGGUUAAAUCCGUGUUCCCGUGCCCCCUGUUGGGGCAGUUCUGAAUUUACAGGAUUGGGCCUUGGAAGGAGUCGCAGGACAUCCCUCCAUUCCUGGGCCCCAACCCGUCCACAGUGUUUUUCCAAUGCUUAACUGGUCUUGUGCUUCCUGUCCUCAGUGAGGGGGCCAGGAGCCCCAACUCUGUUCUGAGAUAUGCAGUGACUUUUAGACUUUCCAGAGGUAGCUCUGUGUUUGUCCUCUGUGCCUCUCCCUAUUUGCCCAGGGGAUCGGAGCCCUCUCUGUGUGGUCCCCGGCAUGUGAGUGUGCCGGCGCACUGGGCAGAGGAGGCGGUCUUAGCUGUGAAAGGGAAAAGCACCUGCGGGGGCCUGAGUCCCCAGCCCAGCCUCUGCCCUGUUCAGAGCUGCCCCCAGGACUAAGAAGGCUGUCCUGCUGUUAGUGGCCCCUGCUGGACACACUGGUGGAGUCUGGGUCAGCUGAAGCACAUACCCUUGAGUACUGGCCUCCCGGAGGAGCCGGGGACAGUCUGUCUUCAAUGGCCGGAAAUCCCUCCUCCUCCAGUCGUCACAGGGGUGCCCGGCAGCUCCCUCAGCCACUUGGAAGUAAGCACCUCUCCCCCUCCCCAACCCUCUCUCCACCCGAUCUGAAAGCUUCAACCUUGCAACCUGUAAGAAAGAAUCUGUCUGCAUGACUGUUUACAAACUGUAGAAACACAAAAGACUGCACUGUCCCCAUGGGCCAGGGAGGCCCCAGCCUGGGGCGACUGUACUGUAGCUGCAAGGCCCGUUCUUGCGCCAGAUACAACCUUACAGCCUGCGAGAGGUGCUCAGCGUCGUUGCCCGUUUCCGGCUGUUUCUGAUGGCUCAGCUACCUCAUGGCGGGCUGGCUCUGCUGUCCUGGCGAGUAUCACUGAUUCGAAACUUGAAGAAGUCCCCCGGGAGCCCUGAGCCCUUCCAAAAGCUGUGCUCCAAGAGCAUUGGAGUCUCUGCCUACUCCUUCAGGGAUGUCCAAGGUACAUAGUUAGGGGGCAGGCCCCCAACAUCCUAAAGGUUGGAAGCACAAAAUGGUUGUGAUUUGAGCACAAUAGCAAGGCUUGUGGCAAGUGGCCUGGGCAGACCCGAGUCCGGGAGGCUCACUCCAGCUUGGUUCUGUCCAAAGGUAGACUGGGUAUGUCUGUGUCUGGAGGGGCCUGCCCUCACUCAGACCAGACCUCGGCCCAUGGCUUGUCCUGACUCUGGGCUCAUCAUACUGCUUCUUACUUUUCUUUGCCCAUCUGCAGCCCUGAGUCUGGGCCAACGCCAGCCCAGCCACAUCAGAAUGCGUAGCUCCCUCACUCGACCCCACGCCCCAGAUCUUUAAACGUCUGAGCCCGGACUGGGUGCCAGCCCUAUUGAGCCUAAGGAGCCCAGAGCCACAGUGCCUGUCAUGUAGGCCGAGCCCCCUCGAAUGCUUUUAAAGCUGACCACCUGUGGGCCUUCUCCGCACAGUCCUGCGCCGGGCUCUGUUCUCAGUAUUAACCAGUUCGGUGUUUGCUUUCAUCUGAGUGGCCAAUUCGUCCACGACAGCCAGAAUUCCCCAGGGGAGCCCCUGCAGCUGCCCUUGGAGAUUGCCAAGGAAGAGGAAAGGCGCACCCAAGCCUUUGACGUGGUCACGGCGCCACCUUCAGCCCCUUGGGAGGGGACACGUGUGGAUCUGGGAGUGGUCUCCGUGCCCACCCACCAUCACGACAGCAUCAACCGAGGACAACCCUUGGUUGUCUGGCCCUGCUGCCCGCCUGGGGCGGUGUCGCUUGGGCAGAGGGCAGCUUUAAAGCACAAAACCACCGUAGGGAAGACUGUUGCUGGGACUUUCUCACGCCACCCAGUGUGGUGGAGACGCAGGCAGGCCGCUGCUGUGAAGUCAGAAACGCCCUGCUCUCUUCCAUCACGCGGACAAUGCUGACUCUUGGGGGCAUCCUCGGACGCAGCCUGGGCGGGGUGCAGGCACAGCCCCUGGCCUCUUCAGCGCCUGCCUGUGCCCGAUGUGUUCACCAUCGUGUUUGUCUGGACAGGGCCUGCCCUGCAAGAGCGGUGAGUCUCUUCCCGCCAAGUGGCCCAAAUCUGUGGCAUCUGUCCGCUUGCCAUCCCAAACAGGAAACUGCUUACUGCUCUCUUAGCUUAGCACAGCCUCCUGGCCUGGCCUCAGGAGCCAGGGCUUGGCCACUGGCCCCACAGGCCUCCCUGGGCCUGGCCUUCCUCUCCUGGCUCCCAGAUCCCUCACUGCCCUCUUAUGUGCGAGGACAGAGUCUACAAGGAAAGUUCUGUUUUCUGUGGCAUCUUUGUUCUAUCCCCCACCCCCUACCCAUCCCCGGCACUCAGAUGAGCUCCCAACCCUUACCGUACCCCAGUCCAAUUUUUUGAACCCUUGUCCCGAGAGCUUUGCAGGGAAGUGGGAACGACUCCAAGAAGAGCCAAGGGUCAGAGAAGACCCCUGAAGUGAAUCAGGGCCCUGCCCUGCCCACCAGCUCUUUUCUAGUGAUCACCCCCUGCCCAGGCUGCAGGGUUUCAUUUGGCUCCGGCCCUCCUUGUUAUGUGGCUAGCACAAGAUGUAUAUAUGUUUUGUACCUCUGCCGACGACUGUACAUAGUGUAUGAAAGUUAUUUAAGCCUCAUGCUGUACAUUUCUGUUCCCAGACUGGAUGUGUGUGUUCAAAGAAGUUGUCCUCAAUAAAACCCAAAUGACCAUCA